UCUUCCGCUAGUGGCUGCAAAGGAACCUCUGCAGCCUGAACUCCGGUGCGCCGGGUUUUGAGAGCUGCCACCAGCUCAGGGAGGGAGUGGAACGCGCGGCAGCCACAGAGCACAAGGUUCAUAGCCAGGAUUGGUCGCAAGUAGGGAGCUUUUGCCACUCCGCCGGGACCUUCGGACGUCGGCAGUGGAGCAAGCCCAGUUCUCCUAGGCGCUGUGCUUGGACUGGAUUGUUCCUGGAAAGAAAGGAAAUUGCCUAGCACAGAGCACUGGACCGGGAGAUCCCAAGCCUUUCAGGAGGACUUCACACUGGCUCCUGAGCUAAAGCUUAUAGAUAGGAGAUUAGAUUCACCUGGAACAUUGACUUGCCAGCAGAAGGAAAGCCUUUCUCUUAUGGAGAAUCACCAUAGGUCACUCAGAAAGAAAG
rnacentral:lncRNA from 1 species